GAUGAAGACGCAGCGAAAUGCGAUAAGUAAUGUGAAUUGCAGAAUUCAGUGAAUCAUCGAAUCUUUGAACGCACAUUGCGCCCCCUGGUAUUCCGGGGGGCAUGCCUGUUCGAGCGUCAUUUCACCACUCAAGCCUCGCUUGGUAUUGGGCAACGCGGUCCGCCGCGUGCCUCAAAUCGACCGGCUGGGUCUUCUGUCCCCUAAGCGUUGUGGAAACUAUUCGCUAAAGGGUGUUCGGGAGGCUACGCCGUAAAACAACCCCAUUUCUAAGGUUGACCUCGGAUCAGGUAGGGAUACCCGCUGAACUUAAGCAUAUCAAUAAGCGGAGGA
rnacentral:misc_RNA from 1 species